GAUGAACCAGCUUAUCAUGAUCCUCCCACUGGCUUCACCAAGUCAGCUUAAGGGAGACCAUUAAAAGGGCUGGUCUAGGAGCACCUAAAUCAGUCACACUGAUUUACCUAGCUAAUAUGGGUCAGCUCAAAUAGUCAAGUGAUCCGAUCAAAAUAUAAUUUCACCAAGAGGCCAGAUAAGUUCGAUCGGUGGGAGGGUCUGCCAAAGCUUGCCUUAGACACCAUCAAAAAUGGCCAGGUAAGCGGGCUACCAAUUAAAAAUCAUCGGUCUGGCUUACUUUAGACACCAACUGAUUUAAUUAGUUUUGAUUAGAUCAACCUAACAGUUCGUGCUAGAC
rnacentral:lncRNA from 1 species